UUAUGUAAUCUAAACAAAUCGUUCAAAUUAUCUCAAGUUACUUAAUAAUUUGCCGUUAUUUUUUCACUAUUUUAUGGUUUUACUUCCGAUGUCAUCUGUCUUUUGAGCUACUAAUUACAGUUUAUUAUGGAUAGAAGCUGUUGAAUAUUUGCUAAUUGAAUUUGAUCUUGAUUCUUGUUUGUUUACAAAAAUCCUGUGUAUCAUCAACAUAGCUUUUAUCAAAUUAACUUUGAAUAAACAAACUGGUGUAACCAUCUAAACUCGUUAAUAUUGGAAUCCAGGUUUGUUGAUGUGCAAAAGUGAUGAAAGGUGAAACUAAUAGUUAUUCCAGCUUGAAGAUGGGAAAUGCUAGCCUUCAUUUUUGGUCUCAAUCGGAGGCAACUUCCGCAGCAACAACAGCCCAAAAUGAGAGGAGAAAAGAUGACCAAGGAAGAUUGGAGAGAGAGAGAGAAGAAGAUAGAAAGAUCAAAACUAAACCAGUCCCGCAAAAUAUCGAUCAAAGCAGAGAGACAAGAGAAAUGCAAGUUGGAAAAGGCAAUGAUACAAGAACGGCUUGAGCCAUUUCCAAGCCACAAGGGAAACACGGACAAGUACAUGUUCAUGAAAAGAAAGUGUAACUAUAAACAUUGGUCAUUAGGGUUGUGGAAAAAUGGCCUGAUAUCAAUCAUAUUUGAAAUAAUAGAAGGCAAGGAAGCCAGUUAAGUUCUUAAGGUUCAUUUAUUGCUCUUGACCAUCUUUUGACCAUUUCUUUCUCUCUCUUUUUCAGUGCUACUUUUUCCAGCCCAUUCUAAUUGUGGACAAUGAAAAAUAUUUUCCAAGCCAAUAAUUGGUCUUCUAACCCUUUUUUUAUGUCUGCUGGUAACCAUUGUAUUAUGUAUAUAAUACAUUAUAAUAGUAAUAAUGAUGUGAUGUUUGCCGAUAACUUAAUAAUGAUUCAAGCUGAUGAUUAUAAUUUAAAAAUUGAAGCCGGACACUGGCCACACAAAUCUACACACGCAACCUCUAUUGAUGCAUAAAAGAGGAAGCACAUAAAACGGGAAAGAUUGUAAAUUAAAGAUGAAAUAGCUUAAAGGAUUACAAGGAUAAUUAUUACAUGAUGUCUCUGGAACUGUUAUCCAGGAAAUCCUGAUCCUCCAUCAAUCUUUUCUCAGCUUCUCUUCAAACAAUAAUCCAUAUUCUCAUAAAAACCAACAAUCAUUUAUUUGCCCCAAUCAGUGACUGGAAUCAUCGUGUUAGACUGCAUUGUCUAACUGUUUUAUAAAUCAAGUUUUCAAUCUUGAAUGGGACGAUAAAAUGGAUGGUAAAGAACGGUUCUUCAACAACAACAACAAAACAGAUUAGGAUUAUGAGGAUGAUGGUAAUGGUGUGAACAACGAUGGAAGAGGAUUAAAGAAAGGCUGUUCAUGCAAAGAGAAGGAUGAUGAAUAAGAGUAGGAUGAAUUUUACACGAACCAAAGUUCUGAAGUUAAAUUAAGUUAAUGAAAGGUGCAAAGGCCAAGCCUUAGACUUGAUCGGUACGGUUAAGCCUAAAACCCACGUAAACAACCCAUCAUCAUCAUUCUAAUAAUUAUAAUCACCCAAACAGCGUUUCAAUAUAUUGCAUCAAAAGCAUCAUUAUUCCCUGUUUAUUAUUUUGUCGUGUGUUCUUCUCAAUUCAAAUCAAAUGAAUCAUCGUCACCUAACCAUGCACCAUUCCAUUUGCAAGGCCACCAAAGAUUUUAUUUAUUUCUUUUUUUCCCUAUUUAAUGUGAAUUUCCGUUUUCUGAUGAAAUUUUUUGUAGAUCUCAAAUCCAUCCAUGCUCAUCAAAAUAUGUUUACCUGUUGUUUGCACCGAGUUACCGUCAAAAAGGCAAAGAAAAAACUUUUCAUGAAGGAGAAAAAUGAUAGUAAAAAAGCUUUAUUUUUAUGGUAAAGAACAAUGGAAAAACUUAAUGCCAAAGUAAUGAUUCAUACAAUUUGGAAGAGGAACCAGAUAAUCUUAAGAUGACUUAACUGAUGGUCACAUAAAUUGGUCAUAAAACCUGUAGGCACUGCAUGUCAAUAGGAAUCAACAAGAAGCCCGCAAAUAUUUAUAGAUUAUAUUAUCUAUUUUGAAAACAAAAACCAAUGUAGGCUAUCUCAAGAGGAUCAUAUAAAAGUAGAUGGUAAUCAAAAAAAAAGAGUAGGGAAGGCUGGAAACCCAGGCCCAUCCGAUUAAACCCUAGAAGAGGAGGACAAGAGGAUAAAUGAAGAAGGAUAAAGAUGAUCAGAGGAGAGGAGAGGAGGUGGAGAUGAGGAAAACAUUCACCUUGCAACUGGACAUUAAUCAUUCAAUGGUCCAUUCGAACCAAUGAAUAUCACCAUUAAUAUCAUUAUCAUUCCUUUCACCGUCAUUAUUAUAUCUACAUUAAUGUCCAUUCAUGUGGUAACCAAGCCAAAUACAGCCCACAUGAACCCUAAGAAGCAGAAGCCAAGACAAAGUAAAAUAGAGCUGAACGCGAGUUGCCCUUCAACAAAUAAAUAAGGUCAAAGUCUCAUUACUAUUAUUCAAGAGUGAAAAUAAUAGAUUUUUUCACUUGAUUUGUUUCAUUGAAUUUUGUCAAGAGAAACACUUGAAUAUAAUUAACUGUGUGAAAUUAAUAUCGAUUGGUGGACAGUUGGAUCAUUAUAGAGGGUCCAUCAUCAUCAUCAUCAUCAUUAAAUUAUACCAGGUUGACAGAUGAAUAGAGAGGUCAUAUUUAUCAAAAGAGAGUGGAGGAUCCAACCACUAUUUGCGUAUUAAUACGAGAGAAUCCAAAAAAAGAAUCAUUAGAUAAAAAAAGACCCCAGUUUGUCAUUACCUGGAUAACUAAUCAAACCAGAUCACAGAAGAAACAAAUUACCAAGAUUAAACUGUUUUCACCAAGCAAGGUUAUAAAUAUAUUUUAUCCAGUUAAUAUGCAUAAACCAUUUAUGUAAUCAAAGGAAUAGGCAGAACUGAUAUUACAAUACAUAAUAGUUAAUUUGGUUUACAAUUCUCAUCGCAUAUCCUUGAUAUCAUGAAGUGAAACCGAGAAACAAAACAAAUAAACUGAAUAUCUUAAACUGGAAUGGCAAUUGGUAAUGCUGUUGUCUAUGAAAGGUCAGAAAAAAUCAAGCAAAAAAAGGGAAACGGUCCAUUUCAAGUUAAAUUUCUCAGCCUGUAUGUAAACCAUGAUGAUCAACAUUAUCAUUAUCAUAAGUAGACUGUCCAGUACCAUGACUAUGUGAUAAAAAGAAAGGAAAGGAAAGGAAAAAACAAGAAUGAUAAAAGAUCGUGGAAAGUUGCCAUUCCAAAUGUGUAAUUCACCAUCUCUACCCAUGUGGCCUGUUAUAGAUGGAUAUUUUUCGCUGAAAAUUUGAUGAAAAAGAGUGAAUUGAGCAUCAAGGUUGAAACACAUGAGUUCAAAAAUUUCCAAAUAUUCACUAUUAAUAACUUUGCUGAAACUGGAAAGUGAAAGUUGAAA